rnacentral:tRNA from 1 species
CAGUAUAUAGUUUAAUAAAAUAUAGAUUUUGGAUAUCUAAGAUAUAAUUUUUAUUAUGCUGA